NNNNNNNNNNNNNNNNNNNNNNNNNNNNNNNNNNNNNNNNNNNNNNNNNNNNNNNNNNNNNNNNNNNNUCAUGGCAUCGUUCCUCCCUGGAGUCCAGAACACUCUAGCGGACUGUCUCAGCAGAUCCUUCCAGAUGCACGUGUGGUCAAUUCGCCCGGAUAUCAUCCAUUCCAUCUUCCAGAGGUGGGGAUUUCCCUAGGUCGACCUGUUCACCUCACGAGCCAACAGGAAGUGCCACAUGUUCUGCUCCCUCCAAGGGUGAUCUCUGGGCUCCCUGUCGGACGCUUUCCUCCUAUCGUGGAGAGACCAGCUGUUUUACGCUUUCCCUCCAUUCCCACUGGUCCACAGGGUGCUGCUCAAGCUACGCAGAGACAGGGCAUGUAUGAUUCUAGUCGCUCCAGCUUGGCCAAGACAGCACUGGUACACCACGCUUCUGGAGCUAUCGGUACAAACUCCGAUCACGCUUCCCUUGUGCCCAGACUUGAUCUCUCAGGACCACGGCCGACUUUGUCACCCCGACCUGCAAUUGCUCCACCUUACAGCGUGGAUGAACCAUGGCUGAAUCGGAUAGAGCUACGAUUCUCACAUCCAGUGCAACAGAUUCUGCUGGGAAGUAGAAAGCCCUCUACAUGGACCACUUACUUAGCCAAGUGGAAACGGUUCUCCUGUUGGUGCGAGCAGCGGGCCACGCCCCCCUUGCAGGCGUCUAUUCCUCUUAUACUUGAAUAUCUCCUAUCCCUAAAACAGCAGGGCUUGGCGAUAUCUUCGGUCAGGGUUCACCUGGCAGCUAUCUCGGUGUUCCACCCAGGAGAACACGCUUCCUUGGUCUUCUCUAACCCGAUGGUCAUCAGAUUCCUCAAGGGCUUAGACCGGCUAUACCCACAGCAGCGCCAACCCGUUCUGGCGUGGGAUCUUAACCUGGUUCUCUCCAAGCUCACGGGGCCCCCGUUCGAGCCAUUGGCUACCUGCUCACUCCUUUACCUAUCUUGGAAGACAGCCUUCCUUGUAGCCAUCACUUCAGCAAGGCGUGUUUCUGAAAUCAGGGCGCUCAAGUCUGAGCCUCCAUACACAGUCUUCCAUAAAGACAAGGUGCAGCUUUGCCCCCACCCUGCCUUUCUUCCCAAGGUGGUGUCAGCUUUUCAUGUGAACCAAGAUAUAUUCCUCCCCGUCUUCCAUCCUAAGCCGCACACCACCCGUCAAGACCAGCGUAUGCACUCCUUGGACGUACACAGGGCCCUUGCUUUCUGUAUUGAGCGUACGAAACCAUUUAGGAAGACGACGCAACUCUUCGUUGCAGUGGCCGACCGGAUGAAAGGCAUACCGGUCUCCUCGCAAUGUCUCUCCUCUUGGAUCACGUCCUGCAUUCGUGCUUGCUACGACCUGGCCGGUGCCCCGACGCCGCGCCUCACCACCCACUCCACGAGGGCCCAAGCCUCCUCGACUGCCUUCCUGGCUCAUGUCCCGAUCCAGGACAUUUGUAGAGCGGCGGUUUGGUUAUCGGUCCACAUCUUCGCCGCUCACUAUGCGCUUGUACAGCAGUCCAGAGACGAUGCUGCAUUCGGAUCAGCGGUUUUGCACACAGCGAUGUCUCACUCCGACCCCACCGCCUAGGUAAGGCUUGGUAGUCACCUAAUUGGAAUCGAUAUGAGCAAGCACUCGAAGAAGAAAUAAUGGUUACUCACCUUUGUAACUGUUGUUCUUCGAGAUGUGUUGCUCAUAUCCAUUCCAAACCCGCCCUCCUUCCCCACUGUCGGAGUAGCCGGCAAGAAGGAACUGAGGGGGCGCUGGGUCGGCUGGGGUAUAUAUCCAGCGCCAUGA
ensembl:lncRNA